CUCUGCGCGCGCCGGCGGCUGCCGUGGCGGGUGGGCGGCUGCCAUUCUCUUCUCGGCCAGUUCUCGAGCGCCUCCCCGGGCCCCGCCCUGCAGCCUCGGUCUCCCUGGCGCUGCGCGGCCUAGGGGACUGGGCUGCUGGCCUCCGGGUGCGGGGUGGGGGCAGGCUCUGACCUGGGGCGUCCUGGCCGCGUGAGCCGCGGGAUGGGGGCCCGGGCCCCGGAGGAGGCGCCGCUGUUGUGUUCCUUGGUGGAGAGGGCGCUGCCGGCCCUGCGCGGUUUCCAGCCAGGAAGCUUCGGGAAGCCUGGACGUCUGCUCACUGGAAACGACACGUGCGUGGGGUGUUGGGUAAGUUGGUGCAUUGGAGCUGGAACAGGGUCAAUCCUCCAGUGUAACUAAGCCCUGCUGUGCAACAUCUUAAGUGACUGGAGGGACCAGUCGGUCUUGUGUUCAUAUUGUGGCUAGAAGCUCUCUCUCCAGGGGAAUAAAAACGGAUUGUUUCAUCUUCAACAGGACACUGCCCCUAGAGGCGUUGCAGCUGUGGCUGCCGUGUCACAUCUGUGUCAUUAGGUGGCAGAGAUUAGAGAGGCUAUGUCUACGCUCAGCGUUCUGCCCUGUGAACGUUUGAAUGUUUGAUAGUCUGACACUCCUGUUUUUUGGACAGGCAUCUGUUUUCCUUCGCUGGUAUCUGGGAGAGAGGGCGGGCCUUGUGAGUGGGCUUUCUAACCCUCGCGCUGGGCUAGGCUGGCCUCUAGGGGUCUGAAGGGACAGUGGGAAGGUAGAGGGUGCCUUCAUCAGGAGCAGCCUUCAUGAGUGAGUUUUAAGAACCUGUGAGGAUCGGUCAGGUCUGGUGUGCGCUGGGUCAUGCCGUACACCGUGUCAGGAUCACGCAGGACAGGACUGGGGAAGGGUUUGCUGGUGUCUCAGUUAAUAGCAGUAACGGCAGCCACUUGUGUUCUUGAUUCUUUGCCAAGCAUUCUUGUUAUUUAACACAGGAAGGAGGUGACUUCGCCUGUGAUGGACUUCCAGUGUGAGCACUGGCCAGAGUGACCAGGCCGACCAGCACCAGCCCUGAUCCAGGUAAGAGGUGAGGCAGAGGCUUGCCCUCCCUCCCUGCCUGCUCUGGCUGCCAGGUAGGUGUGAGCGGCUGCCCUGCAGAUGCUGUCCUGGACCUGUCGGCACCACAGACAGUUGCUCUGCUGUGCCUGUGGCCUCGGGGCAAAGAGAAAGUGGCGAUUUCUACACUCAGUGCUCGGGAACCAGUGGGCAUUGAGAAUGGUUUAUGGCCUGACAUUACUUGAAACCAAAGCCAGGCAGCGUUUGGGUUUUCGCUUCUGGAAACCACCUAACCUGGUUUGCCCCAUGAGGGAGGGGCAGCAACAUUGCUGGGAACCCUGAGGUGUAGAUAUGUAUAAAUGAGCUGUGUGUGUAUCUGAAGCUCCGGGCACUUGGGUUACCAGGACUGUGCGUCUCACUCCCAGGCCUUGUUCAGGAAAUGAUUCUGUAGGUCUGUCUGGGAGGCCUUGGGCAAGUUUGACUAAGAACAGUUGAGCUGGGACAAACAGGCUAUUCCUUGUCCAGCAUUAUUAAUCCCAGUUGGGCGGGGGCGGGGGUGGCAGGGUGCAAUUCCUGUGCACAAAGGCAGGGCCCUGGGUAGGGGUCAGGAGCUGCCUUGCCCAGAGACGUGUCUGGGUCACUUUGGAAACAGGAAUCCUUUCCCCAGAAUGGGUAGGAAUGAGGGUACAGAGGCCAAAGACACAGCUGCACAUCCUGCAGUGCCUGGGACGCCCUACAGCGAAGAGUGAUGUGGCCCUAAAUGUCAGCAGUGCCAGUGUCAGACUUCUGCUAAGAGAUAGUAUCAAGAAAGAUAACUUUAAAAUACAGUUUCUGGAGGCCGGGUGCGGUGGCUCAUGCCUAUAAUCCCAGCACUUUGGGAGGGAGGCACAGAGGUGUAUCACCUGAGGUCAAGAGUUCGAGACCAGCCUGGCCAACAUGGUGAAACCUCCUCUCUACUAAAAAUACAAAAAUUAACUGGGCAUGGUGGUGCAUGCCUGUAAUCUCAGCUACUUGGGAGGCUGAGGCAGGAGAAUCGCUUAAACCCGGGAGGCAGAGGUUGCAGUGAGCCGAGAUCAUGCCACUGCACUCCACCCUGGGCAACACAGUGGGACUGUCUC
rnacentral:antisense_RNA from 1 species